UUUUCUUAUAAAUACUCUUUUUUUUUACCCUUUUUAUUUUUAAAAACUUAUAUUUUACCCUUCAAUAUUUCAAGUUAUUGCAUUUAACUCCUCAGGUUCCAUCGCUAUUCCGUUCAUUUCUUACAAUUUAUAUCGAAAAUACAUUUCAAAAUAACAUAAAUAUAUUAAAAGAUUAUUUUUUUCUUAUAAAAAAAGUAUGGAUAAUUUGUUUAUUUUGUCCUCUCUACCCUCUUGAGAAUAUUUUUAAAAUUUUAAGGGGGCAAAAUGUAGGUUUUUUAAAGUUAGAAAAGAAAAGUAAAAAUUACGAGUAUUGACAGAUUUUUUUUUUUAAAUUUAGCUAAAAAGAAAUUUUAAACCAUUUCUUUUGGUUUUGGCCAGAGGUAUGUUUGAAUGACAUGUAAUUAACCAACUGAUCACGCGAAAGGGACGCAAAUUAUUUAGUACACAUAAUGAUCUACUACAAUUUGGCAACCAUGUCAACUAAGGGACCUUCUAUAAAAGUGCAAUAGCAAUUCACCUCUUGUAAUUGUGCUUUGAACACGUCUUUUUCAUCUUUUUUGGAGAAAAUGUUUGGUAACCACCAUAUCCACAUUUCCAUAUGGUUUAGGGUUUAGUUUCCCUUGGCCACCAUUUUGUUUUAACUCUUUCAACGUUCACAUCUACUAGAGUAACUUUUUCUUUCUCUACUAACU
rnacentral:lncRNA from 1 species